rnacentral:piRNA from 2 species
UCUUUCUUGAACCUGCCACCACUUUGAGCUC